UUCAAGAAUGGUACCCAAAAUAUAAAUUCAUCUCCAUAAAAACCAUAAUUUAUGAACUUACUGAAUCCUUUGUCCAAUACCUUCUUGAUGAUUCUGGACCCUUCCUUCUUUCUUUUUUCAUCUCAAAUGGUGAUACCUUACCAAACAGAAUUCCUAACCCUGACAUGGGGUUGUACUAUGGGACUAAAUAGAGUAGGUUGUGCUGCUGAAAUGUUUAAGAGGAAUAUUGUUGGGGUUGAAAACUUAGGUUCUUUGACGGGUAUUGUUGGUGGGAAAAAGAACAGUUGAAGGAUGAGAUUAGAGCAGGGUAUUGGACUGUUGUUGCUUGUAUUCCAGGUGUAAUUGGGAUAUCUAGUGUGGGUAGUGUUAGGUUGUGGGAGGAAAUUCUUGGGCUUAUGGGCUAUAAAAAGGUUUUGCGUAUUUUUUAUUUUCCAGCAGUCAUUGACAGUAGUUUAAUCAGAACUAUGGUGGGAUUGGAAAUUCAUUUGUGUUAUGGCUUACUACACAAUAGGCGGCCUGGAUGGAAUGAUCAUGGACACUUUAGUGCUUUUGCCACACCAGUUCUAAUUUCAAUCCCAAGUGUCCUUAUAUAGUACUAGCAGUCAUUAACGUUUUGUUUUACAUCAAAUCAUGUUAAUUUGUUUGUGCGAGUCAUAACAUUUAUUUACAUGUCAAUCUUUUCCAUUCAUCUAAUUGUGUUGCCAUUAGCAUAAGUAUUGCAUCAAUCAAUUUCAUUAGCUUAAAUACUGUAGUUAAGUCCUUAUUAUGUAAAAGCAUGUUGCCUCCUAUUGAAAUUUCUUGAUAUUCCCCUAGAACUGCUCAUUUCCUUUUCUUUUUUGUAAGGCAUUAAAAUUGAUUAGAGGUGGAUGUAAAUGCAUUUUUAGCAUAUUUCAUACCAAUUUCUGUGUAUACAUUUCUUAUUUACUAAUAUAUACUUGGUCUGAUUAUUUAGUUCCAGAAAAGCACUCAGCUGGCAUACAUGUUCCUUGAAAAUGUUUGGCCCUGGAUUAAAAAAAAAAGAAGCAGCUCAAACAAGAAGGUAUGUAGCCUCGCAAAAAUGUUAUACAAUUAUGUUAUACUAAUUUUCUGAAUCAUCAUUUAUGACAUGAUAUACAAUAUAGGUGUGAAAUAGUAGUUCUAGCAGGAAAAAUUAUAGAAUCAAUGACCAACGAAGGUGCUAAUGUAAGGUUGUGUUAAAUGACAGGAAAGGAUAUUAAAUGGAAGAAAAAGAAGAUCAUAACAGUAUUCUUCCAUAUGCAGGAUAAGGUGUCAUCGAAAAAUAUAGGCCUCAUUAUUACCUAUUCAGAAAGGUAAAUUUAGCAAACAAUUGAAAAGGGGAAAACAAAUCUUAGAAUUUGAGCUUUGAGCAUGAUAUUAUAAAACAAUAACUAGAUUUUAUAUGCACUUAUUGUAAUUGUACAAGAUAUAUUAGACUUGUAAAUUGUUAUGAUCCUAAUUGCAAGGUAUGAGACUUGUGUCCCACAUCGAUGGUAUGGGACUUUGAUGUGAGGUAUUUAUAAACUUUGGGCUAUUCAACUUUAAUAGUUAGCUUUUAAGGUGUGGCUCUCCAUGGUUUGUAACAAUUGGUAUCAAAACAAUAUGAAUUAUUACUCACUAUAUAUCAUUAUUCAAAAAAGUUUUUUGCGAGGGAUAAAAUUGGUCUCUAUCUUGUUCUAAAUAAUUUUUUUUGAAUUAAUUGUGGUGAAUAUAAAUACAUUAAAUUUUUUACAAUAAUAAAUUUAAUUUUAAUAACACUUUUUAAGUAACUUACAAUAUCAACUAUUUAUUUUAAUAAACUAUAAAGUAAAUAAUUUUAUACUAUGUUAAACUUUAAAAUUUCUGCAUAAAAGUUUAUUUUUAUGAUCAUAAUUAAAUAAAGUUAAAGUUAAAUAAAAAUAAAUUUAAAUAAUUCAAAAGACUUUAAAUUUUAUUUUAAGUAUAUACUAUUAAUCCAAAAAAGUCUUUUGAAGAUUAAUUUAAAGUAACUUUAAUUUUUGAUAUUUUAUUUAAUAUUUAGUUAAAUAACAAUUUGGGAUGAUUUUAAUUAAGAAAUUUUUUUAAAUUAUUUAAUUUUAUUUUUAAUUAGUUCAGUACUAAAUCAUCAAAACAACAAGACUUUUUUUACAAUUAAACAGGCCGUCACAAUUCCGGUGAUGGCCAAGGCCCGUAUCAGGCAUUUCGUGGAGGCCAAAAUCCUUGAAGCAAUUGGAAUUGAUUAUGUCGAUGAAAGUGAAGUUCUUACCCUUGCCAACGACGAGAAUCACAUCAACAAGCACAAUUUUUGGAUUACGUUCGUUUGUGGCUGCUAGAACCUCGGGGAAGCACUCCGACGAAUCUGUGUGGGUGCGGCGAUGAUUGGAACCAAAGGCGAGGCCGGAAUCGGGAACAUAAUCGAAGUCGUUCACCAUGUUCGGUCUGUAAUGGGGGAUAUUAGGGUGUUGAGGAACAUGGACGACGUUCGCCAAGAAAAUCGCAGCUCCCUAUGAUUUGGUGAUGCAGACAAAGCAGCUGGGGAGGUUGCCGGUGGUGCACUUCGCGGCAGGUGGGGUGGUGACGCCAGCGGACGCGGCGCUGAUGACUCGGAUUGGCCACAAUUUUUUGAAUCACGAAACCCUAGGCAUCGGACUAUCGUUUCUCAUCUCGGCAGUUUCGGUCGGAUUGUAAGUCGCAACAAAACAAACAGUUCAUUUUUAAAUAUACUUAAUUAUUUUUAAUUGUAGGAACAUAUAUUGUUCCUCUAAUCUUCAGACUACAGAUUUUUUUAGGUAAUUUUAUUAAUUUCCAGACUCAUCUUCGGCUCUUACAACUGGUAAUGAUAAUCUAUUAAUCUUCAUCUUGCCUCUCUAGCUCUCUCGCCUAUUAUAGCAAUUGGGGCUUGUGGAAUUGUUACUUUAAUUCAUUUAUUUCUUCUAAUUUGUGAAUCUUGUGAAUUCAUUGCAAUGAAUGGUGUGUUUGUGUUUAAGUGUAUUUAACUUGGCCAUUCCAAGUCAUGGAUUCCACUAUUAGCUGUUAUUGAGUUAUAUUUUUACUUAAUUUUUAGUUGUUAAUGACCUCUUUCCAAUUAAGAGAGAUUUGACUUAGAUUUUUGUAUUUUUUGUUAGAAAAGCGCAAAUGUUUGUAUAACAUUGGGUAAAAAAAUUUGUAUUUUUUGUUAGAAAAUCGUCAAUGUUGGUAUAACUUUGGGUAAAUUUUGUUUGACGUAAUUUUAUAAGCAUUUCUGGUAAUUUCAAGUACCUCAUUUUUGGGUAUUAUAAUAUAUCUCAUUGUUUCUUUUCGGAGUGAAAAGUUGACACCAAACAUGUACAGGGUAAAGGGAAAAUUGAAGUAUUAUCAUUAUAUUCCCUAUUGUCUCGAGUCAUUGUAGAAUGUUUUUUGGCAAUUGAUGAACAGGAAAAGGCUACAAGGAUAAUUGUAGGCUAUGUGUUUGUGGAAUUGACUAACUGUAAUAAUACAUGUAUCAAGCUGAAAGUAUCACAUCUAUUGUAGUUAUAGAUUUAUAUAGAUUAAAUUCGUAUAUGUAUUUUGUGAGUUUUCUAUAUUUGUAUAAAAGAUAUCAUUCCUAGAAUAUUAGGAACAGAGCCUAAGAUUUAUAGAUUUAUAUGUAAAAACCUUAUAUUGGUUAACUUGUAAUUUGUGAAUUCCCGAAUGUUUGACUCUGCUCUUGGGUUGCCUUUAUUUAUAUUUCUGAUUGAUUUUCUUCUUCUUAGCUAACUUAUUUAGUAUUCCACAACUUUUUUUGUGAAUUUGAAGUAUUAUAAAGGUUUAUUUUCUUAUAAUGUGUUUGCAUGCUAGUAGUGUGUCAUGUUUCUUAUAGUAUUGGGCAUGAACCUAUUUGCUCAAUUUUAACAAGGGUUUUUAGGGAUUAACAUUUUGAAUAUGCUACAGUUGUCCAUUUACCAUUUCAACUUCAGCGAGUUUGUAGGGAGAAAUGUGCUUUCUAUGUUUCAACACAUUUAAAGCAUGCGUCAAAUAUAUAGAUUUAUGACGGUAUAUCUCAUGAUAUGAUGAAAAAGUAGUUGUAAUUCAGACAAAAAUAUUAUAUGUUUCUUUCUGCCAUGUCUUCAUAGGAUUUGGGAUUUAUCGUUUCUUCAACAUCCUGGUAAAAAAGAAGUAUCAUGUUGUAAGAGUGGAUUUUUCUUGACAACAACUGAUAUUGAAAGCUAACAGACUUUUUUGUUUAUUAACACAGAGAUCUGUCUCGUAACUAUAUCAAUGGAACCGUUCCAAGAACUUUUGGUCUGCUUCGUAUCAAAUUUCUGUAAGAGUUAUAUUUUUUAUUUUUCGUUAUGUUUUGUGUUUUUAGGAAAUUUUCUUUUUGGGUAUAUGGUAUGGUUAUUCUUACCAUUAGUGUUCAUGCAUGAUGGGGCUACUCUUCAAUAAUUUUAAACUGUUAGAGCAAUUGGUAACUUAUCAGUUGGUUUGCUACAGAUCCCUUUUGGGAAACCGUAUUAGUGGUUCCAUUCCCGAGGAAAUAGCCAAUAUUUCUACACUUGAAGAGCUGUAAGUAAAGGGAUGUAAUUUCACAUUAUUGGAUUUUGAGUGAUAUCUUUUACUGGCUUAAUCUGAACCUAUUUCUCCAGGGUCUUGGAAGAUAAUCAACUGGGAGGACUUCUUCCUCAAAACCUUGGAAGUAUGAGUAGCCUUAGGAGACUGUAAGACUUAUAAUUUUAAUUUUUCAACUUUCUUUCUAUUUUAUAAAUGAUAUGUUUAUUUUUCUUUCAUUUUGAUUGACCUGGGCUAAAACUUCAUCAUAGUUAAGCUGCUCGUAAGCAUAUGUCUGUAACAGAACAUGGGCUACCUAUUUUCUGAUUUGUGGUGUUAAUUUUUCCCCUAACAUAAUUGCAUCUUUUCUAACUACAUCAACAAAAUACUGAUGAACACUUUUUUGCAGGUUUCUUUCUGCUAACAAUUUCACUGGAACGAUACCGGAAACAUUUGGUGGUCUAAAGACUUUAAUAGAUUUGUAAGUAAUAAUUAUAUAAAUUUUUAUAAAAAUAAGUUUCAGAAUGUCUAAAGAUUAUCUACUGAUUACAGUAGGAUAGAUGGGAGUGAAUUUUCUGGGAAGAUACCUGAUUUCAUCGGGAAUUGGACAAAUAUAACGAGAUUGUAAGUAUUUUAUUGUUUUAUUGAUUAUGUUUCAGAUUUUUUCAUGCUUGGAGUAUUCUCGUAGAUAUUACUAAACAAUCAUGGUUGCAUGUUUCUUAUAAUGAACUUUAUUUAAUUUGUUGUAGGGAUUUGCAAGGUACAUCUAUGGAGGGUACCAUUCCUUCUAACAUCUUACAUCUCCCUUUUGAAAAACUUAAAAGAGUUGUAAGCACAAUUUGAGUAUCUAGCUAUUGUUAUUUCAAUUUGCUGGCCUAGUUCAACCGUUAUGAGUGAUUACGGAUUUGGAAACCUGGGACUAUGAAGUCGUUUACACUCUACUUUCUGUUGGCAGGAGGAUAUCUGAUUUGACUGGAUCAGGCACAAGCUUUCCUGAUUUGCAGGAUAUGAAAAACAUGGAAUACCUGUGAGCUCAUCAUGCAUUUUAAUUAUAUGUCGCAUGCAAAACUUGGUGCUUAAUUUCUGGCUCUGUUGACGUAACAAAUGGUUUUCAAAUUUUUGUGGUGUAGGAUACUGAGAAAUUGCUUAAUCACUGGUUCAAUUCCAGAACACCUAGGAGGAUUGAGUAACCUAAAAACCUUGUAAGUUGAUCUUGUGGUUAUUCUUCUAUAGUUGGUUGAUUUGAUUUCUUAUGUUGAUUCCCAAGUAUAGAGUUUCCAAACCAUAUAUACGAGUUAUUGUGUCUACUUUUGAUCCAUCACAAUUUGAGACAAAGUCCGUAUGUGAGAGUUAUUGUCUCAGGACUUUGUCUCAUAAUACAAAUGAGAGUAGUUUUUUAAGGAUGUAAUAAUGUGAUGUGGUCAUCAUUCAACAUUUUCAUCUCUCUUUGAAAAAAAUGGAGGUCCUCCAUCUUAAUUUAAUUGGAUAAAAACUUAGUCCUUUAGUAUGUUUCUUAUAGUUUUGUCAAUCAUAAAAUUAGAUAAUUACAUCAAAAUUUUCUUAUUAUGAAUAGUUUUAUUUGGUUUGGUCAUAAGAUUUUUUUUCUUUGCAGAGAUCUGAGCUUUAACAGGUUGACUGGCCAAAUCCCAGAUUCAAUGGUGUCCUUGAACAAGAUGAGCUUUUUGUAAGUACCUAAUGCUUAAAUAUGUAAACUUAUUAAAAAUAAAUUAAUACCUAAAUAUGUAACAUGAAAAUCGUGCAACUGCUUUGGACUUGUGUAAUAGUUUUUUUGUUCAAACUUGUUAGUUUCACACAUUUGCUUCAUGCUCAAAGUGUGACACAAUAUUAUAUGUGAAUUUAGGUAUCUGAAUAAUAAGUCAUUAACUUGAGCUAUACCCAGUUGGAUUUCUAACAGCAAAUAUAAUCACGAAAUAGUGGUAUGAUUCUAUAGAACCUAACAGUGGCAUGUCCAACUAUAAUCAGAGUUGGCGAAACUAGAGUAGGAUCCACCUACAUAAUAUAUUGUAGUUAUAUAGUUUUCAUAGUUUUGGUUGGCAUGAUAUUCACUAAAAAAUGUGUUAUUGGUAUGAUCCAACGACCUCCCCCCAAACACCCCCUUCUUCAUACAAACCUGUUAACCUUAUAGCCAGCUCUAAGUUGGUUGGUUAAAGUACCGCAUGCAUGACUAUGCACUUACCUGGAUACAUCCAGUUCUGCACAUGGACGAAGAUUCGUUGUUUGUGUAUGUGAGACACUCCACUUUCUCGAAAUUCAAGACCGACAUAAAAUCUCAUGCUGAUUUAUAUACCUACCUAUUUUGUUUUGUUUGUGUUUGGUUGAAUUUGAAUUGAUGCUUACUAAUGUGUACAUGUAACGCUCUGCUGUCCUUUUGAUUUCAUUUUUUGGACUAAUCGUGCUUCCCAAUUUCUCUAAAUUAUAUGCUUUGAUUUUGUUGUUCAAAACUUGGGUUGAUCUAGCGCUAAACUGUUACAGAUUUUUCACUUUUUCUGUGUAGCGUGGUGUUGCUACAUGGUUUGCCCAUUUUUUUCUGAACACACUGUUACUAUAUUGAACGGUUCACUUUAACUAAUUGGUUGAAAACUUGAAAUGAACCCCAGUACCUACAGGGUGAGUUAUUGCAAAAAUUUAGCCUACCACAUGUUUGAUCUCUUUUUAUGAAAAAAUUGUAUCUUACCCUAAGUCUAUUGUGUGCAGUGAUGCUCGGAAACCUGCAUUAGGGGAGUGGACAGCUAGGGCUCAAUUUUGACAUGUUACAUCUGUCAGUACGUUCCAGAUUUUUUCUACAUCAAGCUUACUUUUGCUGUUUUCUUUCAUUUUUUCUUAGGUUUUUAUGUCAUUUUUCAACAACUAUGAAUCAAUUGAGGUAUUUACUAUUGAUAGCUAUUAUUUUGUUUUUAGCCUUCAUUAAUCUCUCUCUUAAUUUAAAAUUAAGUUCACCAGUUUCAUCUUUUCUUACUCCUUGUCUUAUUGAAAUUGAAUUUUGGUGUUUCUAUUGCAGCAUGAAGUUUACAUUCCCAACCUUGAUUUUCUUGAAGAAAAUGAUGAUGAAGUGGAUCUAACAUGUCACAAUUUAUUCCUUCUAGUUCAUUGUUAUUCUUUCAGUUUUCUUAUGUUGGUUAAUAAAUUUUGUAGAUACUAUGGUCCUUGGGAGACCAAGAUAUAAUAACAAAUUUUGUAGUUAUUGUGACUCGAGUGUUAUGAUCUAUUUAUAUGAGAAGUUUUGAUUUUAUUAGUUUUUUAUGCAUUAACUUAUCAAUUAGUUUGAAAAAAGUAUGACAAUAUUUAUAUUUACUUGAAAAAUAAAUUUAAUAUUUCUUAUAGAGAUUAAUAAUAAUAAUAAAUAUGAAAUCAAUGAUUUAAAAAUCAAUUAUAAUUUUCAAUGAAUUUUGAUUAUUUAGUAAUUAAUUUUUUAUUUACAAAUUUAUAAUUUGUGAAGGAAUUUUUCUCUCACUAAUUUGAAGAAAGAUUCUCGAUUUAUAAUUAGUGAAGGAAAAUAUUCUCUCGUUAAAUAAAUUAUUCCUCACAAUAUAUUAUUUGUGAGGGAAUCAAGUUAUUCACUAAUUUCAAAUAGUCCUUCUUAAAAUAUUAUUUGUGAAGAAAAUCAAUCUUUCACUAAAUAACAAUAUUCCAUUACUAAAUACAAUUUGUGAAUAAAAAAGUUAUUCACAAUAUAUCCUUCACAAAAAAUAUUUAGUUACUAAUUAGCGAAGGAUAUCCAAUUGCGAGGAGGUCUAAUGCGAGCAAUCGUGUGAAGGAAAUAUUUCAUCGCAAUAAAUCACUUGUGAGUGAUAUAGUAUGUAUUGUGUGAAGGAUUUGUCCUUCACUAGAGGCUAUUUUUGGUGUAGCCUUAAUAGCUAGCUUAUAAGGUGUGGCUCUCCCAUGGUUUGUAACAUAAACCUUAAAGUCAAGGACUCUUAAGUUGAUUAUAUAAUCUUGCAUUUUUUAAUGUAUAUCCACUUUGUUUAUUCUAACCUUCAUAAUUCAUUUAUAUAUAUAUAUAUAUAUAUAUAUAUAUAUAUAUAUAUAUAUAUAUAUAUAUAUAUAUAUAUAUUUGACUUGUUUGGCUAUAAGAAUUGUGAACCGUAAAUUCAAGGAAUCUUAGGUGAUAAUAUAAUCUUGCAGUUUCUUAAUGCAUAUCCUUUAUGCUUAGUCUAAUUAACUUAUUAUUACUAUAAAUUCAUUCAAUACGGGCAUAUCGAGUCGCUAUUAGUGAAACCUCAAGGAAGUUUAUACCAAUGACUAUAUAUAAUCUGAUAAUGACUACUUAGUUAAAAAGCUCUAGUGGUUUAGAUAUUUAAACUUUCAAACAAAAACGACCAAAUGGUUAUGAAACACUUGAUAAAUUGUCUCAUUCAUUUUCAAAGAGUGCCCUCUGUUGGCACAAUAAUAAUACUACUGCAGAAAAUCAAGCAAGCAAAAAGGAAAACUCUGCUGCAGCUGAAACAGAGCACGAAACAAUGAGAAAAUGUAAAACCUUUUACUGAGAAGAAGGAAGCUAAUAAUCAGAUUCACUCAUCUACCAAUAACAGCAAAUUAACAACUACUUAAAUAAGACUAGCAUAGCAGUACUAUUCAGUUUUGUGAGCCUGAAGAAGUGGAAGAAGUUCCCCUCUUAUGCUUGUUCCUAAAGAAUAGCCAAAUGGCCCACGUCUAGUAAAUGACUCCUAACAACUCCUGCUUACUUAUUCAAUUAUUGACUCUAAUAAAAAGACCUCACGUGCAUCAUAUUAACACAAGUCAUGUGCAUCAUAUUUUAUCACUCCCCCUUGAUGCAAAAACUGGAUACACCAAGAAGAGACCUGAACUUUUCAAACUUAGAGUAAGGAAGAGCUUUAGUAAAACCAUCAGCCACUUGCUCAGUUGUAGGACAAAACUCCAAUUCUAUUGUUCCUCCUGCAAUUACAUCUCUGAUAAAAUGAUGGCGAAGUUCGAUGUGUUUGGUUCUUCCGUGAAAGACUGGAUUCUUUGUCAUUGCAAUUGUAGCCUUGUUGUCACAAUAAAUUUCUGUGGAACCAUGUUGAACUUGCUGCAAAUCUGCAAGAAUUCUUCUCAUCCAAAUGCCUUGACAAACAGUUGAAGUUGUUGCAAUGUACUCCGCUUCAGAUGAAGAUAAUGCAAUGGUAGCUUGCUUCUUUGAACUCUAUGAAACAGCCCCUGAACCAAGGUUGAAUAUGUAGCCACUCGUGCUUUUUCUAUCAUCUAGAAAACCUGCCCAAUCACUGUCAGUAAAACCAACUAAUUACAUAUUAGUAGCUGAAUUAUACCAAAUCCCAUAAUUCCUGGUUGCGGAGAUGUAUCGAAGAAUCCGCUUGGCUACUCCUAGAUGAUGCAUUGAAGGACUAUGCAUAAACCUUGAGACCAAACUGACCGGAAACAUAAUAUUUGGGCGAGUAUGAGUUAAGUACAUCAGCCCACCAACAAUACUUCUAAACCACUUUUCAUUAGCCUUCGGUGUUCCAUCAUUCAUUGUCAAUUUCUCACAGGUGUUCAUGGGAGUAGACACAACUUUACAAUUCAGCAUAUUAAACUUCUUAAGUAAGUCUAGAGCAUACUUCUCUUGUGAAACAAAAAUACCCUCAUUAGUUUGUUGAAUUUGAAGACCAAGAAAAUAAUGUAACAAUCUCAAAUCUGUCAUAUCAAACUCACUCAUCAUGCUUUCUUUAAAUUCUCUAACAAGAGCAUUAGAAGAGCCCAUAUAUAUCAUGUCAUCCACAUAAACACAAACAAUAAGCACAUCAUUACCUUUUACCUUAACAUAUAAGGUGGGUUCACUUUCACUUCGAUGGAAAUCAUUUUGAAGGAAAUAGGAGUCAAGUCUGCUGUACCAAGCUCUCGGUGCUUGUUUGAGACCAUAAAGGGCCUUUUUCAACUUGUAAACUUUCUCCUCUUGACCAUUGAUAACAAAUCCCUGUAGUUGUUCAACAUAUACAUCCUCGUCCAAAAAACCAUUUAGAAACGCAGACUUUACAUCAAAUUGAAAAACUUUCCAAUUGUUUUGAGCCGCUAAAGCCAGAAUUAGUCUAACAGUCUCAAAUCUAGCUAUAGGCGAAAAAGUUUCAAAAUAAUCAACUUCAUGCUUUUGUACAUACCCUUUAGCGACCAGUCUUGCCUUAUGCUUCUGCACACUUCCAUCGGGUUGGUACUUUACUUUGUAGAUCCAUUUCACGCCAUUGCUUUUUUCUCCGGUGGCAAAUCUACAAGCUCCCAUGUGUUGUUUCUUUCAAUGGCGGACAUCUCCUCCUUCAUUGAAUUCUCCCACUCUUCUUUCCCGCAAGCUUCAACGUAGCUUAAAGGUUCUGCAACUAAAAGAGCAUAAGUAGAAGCAUGUAUAUCACUCAAAGACCGCAUCUUUGUUGGCGGAGUUUCACUAUUUUGUGAUGAUUCACUGCUGCUAGAUGGGCUUCUAGUUGGACUGUUUUGCAAUAAUUCACUGCUGCUAGAUGGGCUUCUAGUUGAGCUUCUAGUUGGACUUAGACUGUGCAUAGGAGACAUAUGAGGUGAAUUCAAAUCCUCUUGUAGCUGAGUUAAUUCUGUCCCAUCAUCUACAAAGGCUAUAUUCUGAUCUUUCUCACCAACUUGCUGCCAAACACUGUUCUCAUCGAAAAUAACAUCUCGUCGAAUGAUUAGCUUCUUAGUAAGAGGAUUAUACAAAUGAUAGCCUUUACUUUCAGCACUAUACCCAACAAAAAUGCACUUUUCGCUUUUCUUUUCCAACUUAGUACGAUCAGUAGAAUCAAUUAAAGCAUAUGCAAUGGAACCAAAAACUUUUAAAUUACUUACAUUGGGCUUAACUCCCCACCAUGCUUCAUAAGGUGUUUGAUUUCUUACUGCUUUUGUUGGAGAUAUGUUGAGAAGAUGGAUUGCAGUAGCUACUGCCUCGGCUAACUAUUCGGAAGCUCCUUCUCAUUUAGCAUACUCUGUGCCAUUUCUACAACCGUCCGAUUUUUCCGCUCAGCAACUCCAUUUUGUUCUGGAGUCUUUCGUACUGUUAGUUGCCUCCGGAUACCAUUCUCUUUGCAAAAGAGAGUAAAUUCAUCAGAUAAGAACUCUCCCCCUCUAUCAGUUCUGAGAGUUUUGAUUGCGUAGCCACUUUGUUUCUCUGCAAAGGCUUUGAACUCCUUAAACUUUUCAAACGCCUCGGAUUUCUGAGUAAGAAAAAACACCAACUCAUGCGGGAAAAAUCAUCAGUAAAUAAUAGAAAAUAUUUACUAUUAUUUAAAGAUAAAGUUUUUGUCGGUCCACAAAUAUCUGCGUGAACCAAUUCCAAAGGCACCUUUGCUCUCCAAGCUUUACCAACUGGAAAUGACAUCUUGUGUUGCUUUCCAUAAACACAACCUUCACAAACAUUAUCAACAGACACAAUAGAUGGCAAUCCUGACACCAUGUUUUUCUGACCCAACAAUUUCAGCCCAUUAAAAUGCAAAUGCCCAUACCUUAAAUGCCAAAGCCUAGACUCAUCGUGAACAUUAGCAACCAUUGCACAAUCAUCCAGACAUGAUAACUCAAGAGGAAACAUUUUGUUUUCAGUCAUGUGGACUUUAAAAAUAGAAUUUUCAGAUUUUCUAUUUUUAAUUUCACACAUUCCAUCAUGAAAAUGAACCACAUAUCCCUUUUAAAUUAACUGACCCACACUAAGCAGGUUAUGUGCCAAACCAGGAAUAUAGUAAACAUCAUGAAUUAGCUUUUUAAUACCCGACUCGGUCUUAAUUGCAAUUGUCCCCUUUUCUUCAAUUUGUACUUGCUUGCCAUCACCAAGCCCGACCUUUAAUUGAACUGAUUCAUCCAUCGUUUGAAAUAGUCCCCUUUCUCUGGUCAUAUGGUUGCUACAGCCACUGUCUAGAAACCAAAUAUCAUUCUUACUUAUGUUAGGAUUUAAAUAAGUAAGAAAAAGGCUACCUUCCUCUUCCUUUUCCUCGAUAAAAUUGGCUUGCUGUUUGGCUUUCUCAAUCUUCUCCGGGCAAUUUCGUGCUAUAUGACCAUAAUUGUUGCAAUUAUAACACUGCAUUCCUUUGUUAUCCUGUCUGUUAAAAUGCCCAAUAUCAGAACUUCCUCGACCUCUUCCACGACCACGGUAGCCACCUCUACCUCGGCCUCUACCAAAUUGCAUUUGUCCAGAAGAGCCUUCGCCAAAUCUUCCUUUACUUGAGACCUCGACCUUAGUUUGAAAGGCAUGCUCAAGAUUCUUCUCCUUUGACUUGUUAAUUCUCUCUUCAUGUGCUAAAAGAGAACCCAUUAAUUCAUUAAGAGAAAAUGUAGAUAAGUCUUUAGACUCCUCAAUGGCUAUAACAACAUGAUCAAAUUUAUUCGGUAGACUCCUUAAUAUCUUCUCCACAAUUUUCUGAUCUAUGAUAGUCUCUCCAAAAGCUCUCAUUUGAUUAACUAUACCAGAAACUCUAGAGAAGAAAUCUUGAACAGACUCAUUACCUUUCAUGAAGAGUGUCUCAAACUCUCUUCGAAAAGUCUGCAAUUUAAUUGUUGUUAUCUUCUUGUCCCCAUGGAACUCUUGCUUCAAAAUAGUCCAUGCUUCCUUCGACUUCGUGGCAUCAGCAAUUCGAGGAAAUAUAGGGUCUGCUACAGCCUGUUGCAAAACAAGCAGAGCCUUCGCAUCCUUCUUGCGAAGUUCUCUAAUAUCCGUUGCAUUCUCUGCAAAACUAUUUUCAACCAACUCCCAAAGUUCUUGUGCAGUAAAAAAGGUUUUCAUUUUGAUACUCCAAUACUCAUAAUUUUCUCCAGUAAAUGGAGGAAUCAAGGAUUGAGAAAGAUUUAGAACAUUACCGUUUGCCAUAGUUGCGAAAAGCUUACUCAAACCUUUUGUCGAAUACCUUGUGUGCACAGCAAUAAACCCCACGGGUGAUGCUACAGCAACACUCCAAAAAAACUCUAACGCCCAACGUCAAUCGAACGAGGCUCUGAUACCAAAAAUGUUGGCACAAUAAUAAUACUACUGCAGAAAAUCAAGCAAGCAAAAAGGAAAACUCUGCUGCAGCAGAAACAAAGCACGAAACAAUGGGAAAAUGUAAAACCUUUUACUGAGAAGAAGGAAGCUAAUAAUCAGAUUCACUCAUCUACCAAUAACAGCAAAUUAACAACUACUUAAAUAAGACUAGCAUAGCAGUACUAUUCAGUUUCGUGAGCCUGAAGAAGUGGAAGAAGUUCCCCUCUUAUGCUUGUUCCUAAAGAAUAGCCAAAUGGCCCACGUCUAGUAAAUGACUCCUAACAACUCCUGCUUACUUAUUCAACUAUUGACUCUAAUAAAAAGACCUCACGUGCAUCAUAUUAACACAAGUCACGUGCAUCAUAUUUUAUCACCCUCCACUACCUUAGGUCACCACUUUGAAUUUCUCUUCUUUAACAUAUGAUCGAGGUUUUAAAUAGAACGUAACUUGUAAAUUACAAGUUACUUUUACUUUAACAUAUGAGGUUUAAUUCAAGUUCAUAUAUUUGGAUUAGUAUUUACUUUUACCCUAGCUAGGAUUCUUCUACUGGUUGUGUAUGCAGCUUACAUACCCAAACUUAAACUUGAAGCUUUUGUUUUAGAAUUGUGGAUGGAUUAAUUCAUAAUAUUUUGUUUUAACGGUUUAUGAUUUUUUUUUAUUAUAACAUAUAUGUUGUCAGUACUCAAUAAGUUUUUUUUGGUUGAAUGAAUUGCAAUUCCAGUUUUUCUUUAAUUAUGGAAAUAUGGGGAAAGUCAGUCUAAUAUUAUGUAUGAGAUAGUGUAAUCAGGGAGAUUUGGGAAAACCUUUAGGGUUAAAGGUCUUGGUGUAACAGUUCCGUAAUCAUAUAAAAAUGUUUGUUUGAAUUGUAGUAUAUGUUUGGAUUGUAUUUGAAGAGAAUAUAACAACGCAUAUCAGGACAAUUCGCUGCAAGUAGUUUGGUUAUAAUUCUAUGGAAAUACUUGAAUGCCUACUUAAUUUGUUGUGUUCAUCUCAUACAAUUUUUAAUGUCGAUUUACUGUUUUUGCUAAUGGUUAUAAGAUUUGUUUAAUAAACAUACUAUGCAAACACAAAAAGAAUAGUGAACAUGAUACUCCAUUUGGCAGUUCAUUACAUGUUUUGAUAUAGUGUUUAUUAUUUUUCCAUGAAUGGUCUUAGUUUUUUAUAUUACUUAAGUAUUGCAUUUUUCAUUGGUUCUUGGAGUUUCAUGUUGUUUUAUUAUAUUUACAUGGUCAGCAUGUCUGUGUAUUUGUGUCUCCUCUUUCAUAAAGUUGCUGGAGCUCAAAAUAUCCAUGACCAUUAUUUUCUGCUUAUAAUUCAGAAAGUUGGAAUUUAGUUUUACUGUCAGUUUUGGAGAAAGAAAUAAAUUUACACCGAUAUAGUUGGACUUUUUAAUUUGAUUGCAUUGGUUUUUGUGACCCUGUGUAUAUAAUUAUGAUCAACAGUGAUUUCAUCUUUGAAUUUUGUUGCUAAAGAGUAAUUAGAAUUUAGAUAGUAAUUUGAAUGGAUACAGUUUUUGAGUUGAGAUUAGUCAUAUAACCCUACUCAAAUAGGGUUAUAUGACUUAUCUCAGCUCAUCCCUCAAUAAUGCUCUCAUUAUUAAUUAUUCUAAUUUAAUUUCAAGGGAGAUCCAAUUGAAGGUUACAAAAGCACACAUCAAAAAAAACGAACAAACGAGUGGGUAAAACCUGAAAAUGAAUCUGCAUACGUAAGUUAUACAAACCUUACCCUGUUUUUGAUAAUAGAGGUAGUCAAACAUAUGAUUUAGGCAUUAUUCUUGAUUUACAUUGCAAUCUUUUAACUGAAGUUAAAGAAGCUAUAUUUGAAUUAUUUGCAUUUUUUGUUAAUUUCACAAAUUGAAAUGAAAUCACUUGAGACUAAAUGCAUCUCUGAGAUGGAAGCAGAAUCUGAAAAUGUUGACAGUAAUGACAAAAGGGAGAUUAUGACUCGAUGUUAGGCAAGAAGGCAGGGAGAUUGCUUGGUUUUGAAUUUGGUCCUCGAGCAGAGAAGUCUUCAUCUAGCGAAAAUGACAAAUUUGCAUUGGCAUGCAGGAGAGUUGGAAGCGUCUCAUGACUCUAAGAACUCUUGAUCAUUAUUUAUAGACAUUCAAAACUGUUGAACUUUUGUUGUGGACACUACAAAAACUUGGAUAUUAAUGUUGAACUUUAUGUUAGACUUGGUAAAUCAUUAAUUUAAAGUACAAUGGAUGAUAUUGAGAUUUUUAUUUUCCUAUUUUGGUUAAUUAUGAUGAAAAGUUAAAAUUUAGUUAAUUUAUUGUUGCAGCUGGUGUUUUGCUAUUAUUACAAUCCUCAACUUGUUUCAGCAAAAUAUUAGUUGGGCAAACAAUUCUUUUAAUAUAAUGUUUGAGAAUGAAUCAGAUAUGUUGAAUACAUUAAAUAAGCUCUUUAAGCUUUAUUUCAAGUAGUAAUAUAGUUUUCUUAGUUCAAAAAGUUUUCAUAGCAUCACAGAGUGCAUUCAAUGCUUGUUUAAAUUAUUAUCUCAUUAAUUAGAGUAACAAUACAAUGUAGCUAUAAUUUCAAGCCUAAUUUCACGAAAUGUUAUCCAUCAACAUUUCAAGAUAACAAAUUUAUAACAAGAAUAGCUUCAAAAGAAUGACUAUACCAACAUCGAAUGCACCAACAAGCUUCAGUUUUACCUGCUCUUCUUGAAAAUUAAAUAGAAAAUACAACACUAAUAACAGAUAGAUAAAUUAUAUAAACUAAUUAGAAACCAUUUUCAUGUACUUGAAAAGAGGUAUAAACAAGUUCAUAUAACACAAACAAUGAAGAAUUCUUUCAAGAACGAGAUCGAGAACUUCAAGUAAUUAGCGGUAACACAAAUGUCUUGACCUACAAAAAAGAAAA
rnacentral:lncRNA from 1 species